UGUGUUGCCUAGGGGGUGAGGACCUGCCACCUCACGGAGCGGGACCUGCAAGCUGGCAGCCGGGGCCCGAAACUGUACCCCCUGAGGCGGCCCCGGGUUACCGCUCCCUCCCUUGGCGAGGCUCCGUCCCGUUGGCUCGGCAGCCCGGGACUGGGUUUCAAAGGGGGGCUAGUUAACGCAGGCCCGGGGCUGGUGGCCCUGGGAGGCAGGUGGCUCAGGUGAGUCGGGGUGUGGAGUGGCAGGUGGCUAGAAAAACCGUGCGGGGACAGAGGUAGCGCAGUGUCGCUUUCGGGUUGCUGUGCAGUCACCUCUUCCCAGGGCUGGACAUUCGUCUGCAGGGACUUCCCCAGGAAGGGACAGUCUCCACACUUAAUUAUUUCCAGAGGAUCUUCUCCACAAACGUGUCUGGUUGCCCCUCCAGACCAUGGAAAGUUUUAGCAUGCACAAGGCACAUAGUCAGUCAUCAAAGAUAUUUCUGGCCUGGUUGUAUGCUGUAUGAAGAAAUGUGAAGAAACACAUUUUCUUUAAAACCUGCCCGCUGCUAAUUUCAUUUUAUGACGCUUUGUUCUUGAGAGAGACUAUGGCCACUCAUGGUAUCUCUGCUACUUGCUUUAUGGAUCUCUUUCUUACUACUCCUUGAGACCUUUUUGUAUGCCAAAUAGUCCUUGACCACUUCAGUUAUUCUUUGUUAGUCUUCAUUAGCUUAUCUCACCUUUUCCAGCUGUAGCCUUUCUGAAAUAGCAGUGAUUGGUAUGUGUGCGUAGUAUGAGUUUACAAAGCAGCUUAUGUAUUACCUGUUUUGUGCUCCGUUCAUCUGUGAAUGUUUCUUAACCUCCUGUUUGCUUUAUGAGACCAUCCCAGAGCCUUGAGCUGAUGUUGGUGAGGAUGCUGAAGAGGAUCAAAGGUGUACCACGGUCUUGAAAGACAAGAAGAUAGUAUAAUCUCCAGGAUGGAAUUGUUCUUCAUGUGCUAUUUAAGAGAAGCCAGGGUUGUCACCCUGAACAGCUGGCGUGGCUCUGCCUCGCUUGAAAGACUGCAGAAGUGCCAAAAGGGAAAAGCUGCUUUUGAGAUAUUGUCAUUUUAGCACACGUGACUUGAAGGUCUUCUCCUGGGAGCUGACCUAGUGCUGGGGAGUCUAAAACAGAUUAAGAUAUGGCCUGUUCUUAAAUUAUUUCCUCUGCAACUCCAUUGGAAAUGAUGAAGCUAUCUGAUAAGGGUCCAAUUAGUACUUCAACUGUAUUCAGCUCUAUAUAAAGAAUACAGUCUCUCCUCUGAGCAUAUGGAGUUGUGACAGAUCCCAGCAUGACUAAAAAUACAAAUGGGAAGUGAAAAGGUAAAAAUAACAGUAAAGACAAUUUUAUUUGCAUGAAUUGGUUGUAAUAGUCCUGACAGUCAUACUGCAGUAAGCACAAUCUAUAUUCUAGCCUCAAAUUACUGACACUUCACAGGUACUUGUUUUAUUUCAAGCUUCUGUAAGUUUUUAAGAUCCCAUGGAGAUUCAAAACCAGUUCACUGCUGAAUACCUUUAAAAUAAAGGAACCUUUCUCUCCAUGUAUAGUUUCAGAUUUUCACAUCAUGCAAAUGUAAAAUUUUUGUGGUGAACAGCAUGGGGCCGUUUAGACACAGUAAUCAUGUAAUCAGAAGCUGCCACUUGCUAUGAAGCUUUGGUUUCAUAAAUAAAAUGCCCAUUAAAAAUUCUGUGGCCUUUAAAUGCAAGCUAUUGAAAAGAGAAAAGCAUAAUACUGAUAUUAAUAAAAGCUCUUUCAGUCUUUCACCAAUUAAUAUACAAAUUUGAGUGCUGGAGGCUUAACGUGGCCAUUGGUUAAUUCAGCUAAUCUAUUAGUACAAAUUAUUUAGCAAAAUGUCCUUUGUGUCCAUAAUGAAGUCCAGAGAUAGGGCUGAUGAAAAUAGGUAGAUAAAGGUUAAUACAGCUAUAGAGAGAGAAUUUUGAUUUCUUAAUACAGAUGAGACAGAGGACGUAACAGAACAGUGAAUGAAAGAAUUGUGAACAACCGAAUGGGUGCUCUAGCUUGAAUUCUGCUCAAUUUCCAGCUGUAUUCAAAAGCAAAUAAAUUGAGGUUAAAUAAGGGAUACAACUUUUGUUUCACAUUUAUUUUCGAGAAAUAUAUACCAGAAGUAUAAAUCAAACUUUGAGUAGCUUAAUGUGUCUUGCUUACUUUGCACUAAAGAUGAGUUUUAGAUUUUUAAAUGGUUUAGGGCUUAAGCAAAUGCCUAAUUUGCUGAGUGAAAAGUUUUCCCUCUGCAGAGUGAUUUUAAACUAUGGGUUUUAUCACUUUCUUCUGAUUUUUCAAAAUCACAUUUCUGUUUAUAUUAUAUUAUAAAGCCAUCAGAAUAUGACAAACAUUUGCUUGAAUUAUAUAAAGGGAAAUGCAGAGCUGUUUCUGAAAAUUUUUAGGUUCAGAUUAUAUUACCAUCUAGGGUAAUUGUCAUUGAAAAAGAGGAACCUUUGAGAUAAUUUGUCUCAAGAAAACUACUAAUAAAAUUAAAGUAAAUACAGAGGAUGAUAUUUCAAGGAAUGGGUGUUCCUCCCCAUCUUUUUCUAUUUUCUAAGUAUUUUUUCUGCAAAUCAUAAAAUGAGUAUGUCAAGAACUAGCUUCCAUAAACUAUCUUUUUAGCCUGUAUGGUUAAGUAUUAGCAUUCUGACAAGGUAGUCUUUCAAAUAUUUUAGAUUCUGAAGAUACCUGCGUUUUCCCUGGUGUAUUAGUCUGGAUCACAAUGUUCUUCUUUUGCAUAGACAUAUUGUACUCCAGUAACACCAUAAUAAACUAUUCAUUGUAUGAGCAUCUACUUGUACCAGAAUUAUUGGACUAAACCUUGUCAUACUUUUAUCUUUGACUUAAAUUUCCCUUCUUUUUUUUUUUUUUUAUAAGAGUCAAAUUUUACUAGACAUUCUGCAUAGUUAAGUGUACUGAUCCUGACCUCUUUUCUCAAUCUUUACAAUGAGUUUACAAUACCUUGUAGUUUUUGGUUUUUUUUUAAAUUCCAAACAAGGAUUUAAUAAAUUUCUUGGAUAGCAGCAUGAUAUGCUUUUCACUUUCUAUGAGCAAUCUCUGUGCAAAAUUAUAUGCAGUAACUAUACCUCUGUGAUGGUUAUGACUCCCUGAGUGUAAUCUUUUAAUAUUUUAAUGUCUUUGAUUUCAUUGCUUUUUUGUACAACAGAAGAAUUUGUACAAUGUAUGAACUAUAUCCCACUCGUUCUUUCCCAAUCUACACUAUUUUUCAUUUUUGCUGAGUGCCCCUUCAAGUGCUGUAGACUCUGCAAAUACUGAUCCUUCCGUCUUAUUCAUAUGCAUAGGAAACAAUAUAUGUUCAGAUUGAUUCUUUCAGUGUACUGUGUCACUUUUCACAGUGUAAA